AGGCGGAUCAUUUUAUCACUGAUCAUAUUGUCAGAUUUAGCGAGUUCACUCUCAAGUCUGGAACAAUGUUUGUACGUGGAGUCAUCGUCCUUCUCUGUGUCCUAGUGGCCGUUUCUGAUGGAUUGCCUAACCCUAAUCCUGGAUAUUGCCCAAGGGUCUUUUUGCCCGUGUGUGGAUCUGAUGGAAUAACAUACAGCAAUGCAUGCCUGCUGCAUGCUGCCAACUUGAAAUCAGAUGCUAAAAUCGUUAUCGUGAAGCAUGGCAGAUGCAUUCUGGGGGAGUGACACAGGAACGGCACCACAAUUCAGCUUGACAGACCUUUAGUCAGCAUUAUUGUACUCGGGUCUCAUUCAUUAUAACCUGAAUGUGUAACGGUUUAAUCCUUAAAUAAAUGCAGCAUAUUGAAGUUGUUCUGUUUGGUUCUGUUUUUUUCCUCAAAUCUUGGAAAGACGAGAUAAAAUAGGUGAAGAUUUACUUUAAAGGAGGCACAUAGACCAUAUCUAGAGAGUAGAAUAUCAUAAAGGGUGUGUGAGCUUUUGACACCCUGUUAAAAUCAUUUUCAGGUAGACUCAGUCAUCAGUUGGAAACGGGCGCUGUGGGAGAAUGAUCGAGCAGAACAAAGACAGUGUAGUACCAUAACAUUCUCUAGUUUAUUAAGGAAGAAGGGUCAUAUUUAAAGCAGAAUCAUCCACGAUGU